ensembl:lncRNA
GCUGUGUCCUUGUUGCUGCGGGUCUUGUCUUUUCUCGCGGAGCACGGGGUCUAAGGCAUGUGGGCUUCAACAGUUGCAGCUUGUGGGGUUUACAGCAUGGGCUCAGUAGUUGCGGUGCACCGGCUUAGUUGCUCCGGCAUGUGGGAUUGUCCCAGGCCAGGGAUCGAAUCCGGGUACCCUGCACUGGCAGGCAGAUUCUUAUUCACUGCGCCGCCAAGGAAGCCCUCCAUGAAGUUCUAUGUGUAGGAAAAAAAAGUUUUAUGAGCACCUGUUUUCUUGCCCAUCCCUACUACUUAAUAGCGCCUCUAAAGAGGUGGCCUAGCCUAUCGUCAGUGCUUACACAUUGCCCUGGAGACAGACUGUUCGUCUUUGAGAGUUGACGGUUGCCCUGGCAACGGAUGCAGCGUGGGAUUAGCUUUCAGAACGCAGCUUGUGACUGGUCAAGAGAAAACGACCUGCGUGACCGCCUUCUCCACUCCGCCUGCAGAGGCUAGAAGAAGCCUUUGACAUCGGUGUACUCCAACCGAAGGCCGCCUCUGACUCCAGGGUUCUGUCCGCCUUUACCAUCCGAGGACCGUCGCCUCGAGGAGCCCGAAUCCCGCGGGGAUCUGGGAAAUACUGAAGAGUCUGCGCAGGCGCAGAAGCUUGCCCGGCGCUACGGCUGCGCAGUCAGCCGCGGAGCCUUCGAGGGGAUGGUCAGUGUUGGGGCGGGCUCGAAGUCCAAGACCCAGCUGCCUGGUGUAAAUAAUCUCUCCAGAAUGGAAUGGCCCAAGCCUUGUGAUGCUAUUUUCCUGCUUCUGAUACAAAGAGAACAAUUCGUUUCUAUCUUGUUGGGACUUUCUUUACCAACAGAGAGCAAACAGGUGACUGGAUCAUGUAGCAAGUGGGACACAAAAGCUCAGAGCCGAGGCGGUGCUGUCAAAAGAGCUGGUCAUGUGGUUCCCUGAAGUGAGACUCAGUUGUAGAACAGGCCUGGACACGGUGAGCAGUGAAUGCGAGGGCCCCAACUCCAAGGAAUCACCUGGCAACAAAGAGCGCUCCUCUAUGAAAUGAGGCCAUUCAUUUCCCUUUGAUUCCAGAAGCUUCACGGCAAGGGCAGCACUUUAAAGUAUUGGUGUUCCCCAACUUGGAGCCUAUAGUAAAGUGCCUGUGAGUGGCCAGGUUGGACAAAUGAUGGAGGAGGAACAUUCCAGAAGUCAUUUCUGUGCAUCAUUAUUUUUGCACCGAGCACAUCUUCUGCAUAGAUCAUGUGAACCAUGUGGAGACAGUGAUAUCCACUGCAGCUUUCAUAACUGAAUCCAGCUAUUUACAGCUUUAACUUUCGUGACAAAUUUGGUCUCAUCAUUUAACCAACCAUUUGAAAUGGGAGACUAUGGGAAGAGGUAGCAUGUGGAUGUGCAGGGAUCCUUUUGAGAGGUUUGGGAAGCUAGGAGUGGAAAGUUCUUUCUGUGAGAUGUUAAAUGUUACAGAUUCUUCUUGGCUUUUUGUGGGUUAGUUAAGAAAGUACUAGGACAGACCUGAGAUGAAGGGAAGGAAAAGGCUACACUUUUUUUUUGUUUCAAUAAAGAACAAAGUGCUGACAUUUUGGAAACAAUUAAGCCAAGGGUAUACUGAAGGAAAACUUUGAAAAUUAAAGCCAUGAGUAAUAUUAGUAACAACAGUAACUGCAGUUGAAUACAAAUUGAG